AACGAACGCUGGCGGCAGGCUUAACACAUGCAAGUCGAGCGCCCCGCAAGGGGAGCGGCAGACGGGUGAGUAACGCGUGGGAACGUACCUUUUGGUUCGGAACAACUCCGGGAAACUGGAGCUAAUACCGGAUAAGCCCUAACGGGGAAAGAUUUAUCGCCGAAAGAUCGGCCCGCGUCUGAUUAGCUAGUUGGUGAGGUAACGGCUCACCAAGGCGACGAUCAGUAGCUGGUCUGAGAGGAUGAUCAGCCACACUGGGACUGAGACACGGCCCAGACUCCUACGGGAGGCGGCAGUGGGGAAUAUUGGACAAUGGGCGCAAGCCUGAUCCAGCCAUGCCGCGUGAGUGAUGAAGGCCUUAGGGUUGUAAAGCUCUUUUGUCCGGGAAGAUAAUGACUGUACCGGAAGAAUAAGCCCCGGCUAACUUCGUG
rnacentral:rRNA from 1 species